rnacentral:rRNA from 1 species
CGUAUAUUAAAGUUGUUGCGGUUAAAAAGCUCGUAGUUGGAUUUCUGUUGAGAGCAGCCGGUCUGCACUUCGUGCAUGUAUCUGGUUUGAUCUCGGCAUCCUCUCAAAAUACGUUUCUGCGCUUGAUUGCGUGGAGCGGAGUUUGGGACUUUUACUUUGAGGAAAUUAGAGUGUUCACGGCAGGCAAUCGCCUUGGAUAUAUUAGCAUGGAAUAAUAAUAUAGGAUCUUGGUUCUAUUUUGUUGGUUUCUAGAGCUAGGAUAAUGAUUAAUAGGGACAAUUGGGGGCAUUCGUAUUAUCGCGUCAGAGGUGGAAUUCUUGGAUUGCGAUACGACGAACUACUGCGAAAGCAUUUGCCAAGGAUGUUUUCAUUGAUCAAGAACGAAAGUAAGGGGAUCGAAGACGAUUAGAUACCGUCGUAGUCUUUACCAUAAACUAUGCCAACUAGAGAUGGGGUGAGCUUCUUUUCUGACUCACUCCGCACCUUAUGAGAAAUCAAAGUCUUUGGGUUCCGGGGGGAGUAUGGUCGCAAGGCUGAAACUUAAAGGAAU